rnacentral:rRNA from 1 species
GAUGAACGCUGGCGGCGUGCCUAAUACAUGCAAGUCGAGCGAACAGACGAGGAGCUUGCUCCUCUGACGUUAGCGGCGGACGGGUGAGUAACACGUGGAUAACCUACUUAUAAGACUGGGAUAACUUCGGGGAACCGGAGCUAAUACCGGAUAAUAUAUUGAACCGCAUGGUUCAAUAGUGAAAGACGGUUUUGCUGUCACUUAUAGAUGGAUCCGCGCCGCAUUAGCUAGUUGGUAAGGUAACGGCUUACCAAGGCAACGAUGCGUAGCCGACCUGAGAGGGUGAUCGGCCACACUGGAACUGAGACACGGUCCAGACUCCUACGGGAGGCAGCAGUAGGGAAUAUUCGGCAAUGGGCGAAAGCCUGACGGAGCAACGCCGCGUGAGUGAUGAAGGUCUUCGGAUCGUAAAACUCUGUUAUUAGGGAAGAAAAAAUGUAUAUGUAAAUAUGCACGUCUUGACGGUACCUAAUCAAAAAGCCACGGCUAACUACGUG